rnacentral:tRNA from 1 species
GGAUAGAUGGCCGAGUGGUCUAAGGCGCACGAUUGGAAAUCGUGUAUACCUCUAAAGGGUAUCCAGGGUUCGAAUCCCUGUCUAUCCGCCA